UUUUGUAUAAUGGGUCAGCGACUUAUAUUCUGUAGCAAGGUUAACCGAAUAGGGGAGCCGAAGGGAAACCGAGUCUUAACUGGGCGUUAAGUUGCAGGGUAUAGACCCGAAACCCGGUGAUCUAGCCAUGGGCAGGUUGAAGGUUGGGUAACACUAACUGGAGGACCGAACCGACUAAUGUUGAAAAAUUAGCGGAUGACUUGUGGCUGGGGGUGAAAGGCCAAUCAAACCGGGAGAUAGCUGGUUCUCCCCGAAAGCUAUUUAGGUAGCGCCUCGUGAAUUCAUCUCCGGGGGUAGAGCACUGUUUCGGCAAGGGGGUCAUCCCGACUUACCAACCCGAUGCAAACUGCGAAUACCGGAGAAUGUUAUCACGGGAGACACACGGCGGGUGCUAACGUCCGUCGUGAAGAGGGAAACAACCCAGACCGCCAGCUAAGGUCCCAAAGUCAUGGUUAAGUGGGAAACGAUGUGGGAAGGCCCAGACAGCCAGGAUGUUGGCUUAGAAGCAGCCAUCAUUUAAAGAAAGCGUAAUAGCUCACUGGUCGAGUCGGCCUGCGCGGAAGAUGUAACGGGGCUAAACCAUGCACCGAAGCUGCGGCAGCGACGCUGAUGCGUUGUUGGGUAGGGGAGCGUUCUGUAAGCCUGCGAAGGUGUGCUGUGAGGCAUGCUGGAGGUAUCAGAAGUGCGAAUGCUGACAUAAGUAACGAUAAAGCGGGUGAA
rnacentral:rRNA from 1 species